GGGAUCGUAGUACAACUUGGCUAGUAUUCAAGCUUUGGGAGUUUGCGAUCUGGGUUCAAAUCCCAGCGAUCCCA
rnacentral:tRNA from 1 species